rnacentral:rRNA from 1 species
UACGGAGGGCGCAAGCGUUGUUCGGAAUCAUUGGGCGUAAAGCGCGUGUAGGCGGCUUGGCAAGUCGGGUGUGAAAUCCCGAGGCUCAACCUCGGAACUGCAUUCGAAACUGCCUCGCUCGAGUCCCGGAGAGGGUGGCGGAAUUCCCGGUGUAGCGGUGAAAUGCGUAGAUACCGGGAGGAACACCAGUGGCGAAGGCGGCCACCUGGACGGUGACUGACGCUGAGACGCGAAAGCGUGGGGAGCAAACAGG